rnacentral:rRNA from 1 species
AUCUUAGACAAUGGGGGCAACCCUGAUCUAGCCAUGCCGCGUGAGUGAUGAAGGCCCUAGGGUCGUAAAGCUCUUUCGCCUGUGAAGAUAAUGACUGUAGCAGGUAAAGAAACCCCGGCUAACUCCGUGCCAGCAGCCGCGGUAAUACGGAGGGGGUUAGCGUUGUUCGGAAUUACUGGGCGUAAAGCGCGCGUAGGCGGACUGGAAAGUUGGGGGUGAAAUCCCGGGGCUCAACCCCGGAACUGCCUUCAAAUCUAUCAGUCUAGAGUUCGAGAGAGGUGAGUGGAAUUCCGAGUGUAGAGGUGAAAUUCGUAGAUAUUCGGAGGAACACCAGUGGCGAAGGCGGCUCACUGGCUCGAUACUGACGCUGAGGUGCGAAAGUGUGGGGAGCAAACAGGAUUAGAUACCCUGGUAGUCCACACCGUAAACGAUGAAUGCCAGUCGUCGGGUAGCAUGCUAUUCGGUGACACACCUAACGGAUUAAGCAUUCCGCCUGGGGAGUACGG